rnacentral:rRNA from 1 species
CAGCAGCCGCGGUAAUACCGGCGGCCCGAGUGGCGGUCACUAUUAUUGGGCUUAAAGCGUCCGUAGCCGGGUUGGGAAGUCCUCCGGGAAAUCUGGCCGCUUAACGGUCAGAAUGCCGGAGGAUACUCCCAGCCUAGGGAGCGGGAGAGGCCGAGGGGAUUCCCGGAGUAGGGGGGAAAUCCUAUAAUCCCGGGAGGACCACCUGUGGCGAAGGCGCUCGGCUGGAACGCGUCCGACGGGGAGGGACGAAGGCCAAGGGAGCAAACCGGAUUAGAUACCCGGGUAGUCCUGGCUGUAAACGAUGCGGACUUUGUGUCGGACAAGCUAUGAGCUUGUCCGGUGCCGGAGGGAAACCGUUAAGUCCGCCGCCUGGGGAGUACGGCCGCAAGGCUGAAACUUAAAAGAAUUGGCGGG